UACGAAGGGGGGCGAGCGUUGUUCGGAUUUACUGGGCGUAAAGGGCGCGCAGGCGGCUCAUUUUGUCAGGCGUGAAAGCCCCGGGCUUAACCUGGGAACUGCGUUUGAUACGGAUGGGCUAGAGUUCGGGAGAGGAGAGUGGAAUUCCCAGUGUAGAGGUGAAAUUCGUAGAUAUUGGGAAGAACACCGGUGGCGAAGGCGGCUCUCUGGACCGAUACUGACGCUGAGGCGCGAAAAGCGUGGGGAGCAAACAGG
rnacentral:rRNA from 1 species